GCCUGGGUGGUGAAAUUGGUAGACACAAGGGAUUUAAAAUCCCUCGCUCUUUUGAGCGUGCCGGUUCAAGUCCGGCUCUAGGCACCA
rnacentral:tRNA from 1 species